GGCUAAAAAGCUCGUAGUUGGAUUUCUAGAUGAGAGGAGUGGUCCACUCUAUGAGUGUGUAUCUACUUCCGCUCGUCUAUCCGCUCUGCAAACGUGUCUGCGCUUGACUGCGUGGCGCGGAGGUAGGGCCUUUUACUUUGAGGAAAUUAGAGUGUUCACGGCAGGCAAUCGCCUUGAAUAUAUUAGCAUGGAAUAAUAACAUAGGAUCUCGGUUCUAUUUUGUUGGUUUCUAGAGCUGAGAUAAUGAUUAAUAGGGACAAUUGGGGGCAUUCGUAUCGCGGUGUCAGAGGUGGAAUUCUUGGAUUACUGCGCGACGAACUACUGCGAAAGCAUUUGCCAAGGAUGUUUUCAUUGAUCAAGAACGAAAGUAAGGGGAUCGAAGACGAUUAGAUACCGUCGUAGUCUCUACCAUAAACUAUGCCAACUAGAGAUGGGGCGUCGUUCUUACAUGACUCGCUCCGCACCUUAUGAGAAAUCAAAGUUUUUGGGUUCCGGGGGGAGUAUGGUCGCAAGGCUGAAACUUAAAGGAAUUGACGGAAGGGCACCACCAGGAGUGGAGCCUGCGGCUUAAUUUGACUCAACACGGGAAAACUCACCAGGUCCAGACAUA
rnacentral:rRNA from 1 species